AAGGGUAUGGCUGUUCGCCAUUUAAAGUGGUACGCGAGCUGGGUUUAGAACGUCGUGAGACAGUUCGGUCCCUAUCUGCCGUGGGCGCUGGAGAACUGAGGGGGGCUGCUCCUAGUACGAGAGGACCGGAGUGGACGCAUCACUGGUGUUCGGGUUGUCAUGCCAAUGGCACUGCCCGGUAGCUAAAUGCGGAAGAGAUAAGUGCUGAAAGCAUCUAAGCACGAAACUUGCCCCGAGAUGAGUUCUCCCUGACUCCUUGAGAGUCCUGAAGGAACGUUGAAGACGACGACGUUGAUAGGCCGGGUGUGUAAGCGCAGCGAUGCGUUGAGCUAACCGGUACUAAUGAACCGUGAGGCUUAACCUUACAACGCCGAAGGUGUUU
rnacentral:rRNA from 1 species